rnacentral:rRNA from 1 species
UGGGGAAUAUUGCACAAUGGGGGAAACCCUGAUGCAGCGACGCCGCGUGAGCGAAGAAGGCCUUCGGGUCGUAAAGCUCUUUUAUAUGGGAAGAUAAUGACGGUACCAUAAGAAAAAGCCCCGGCUAACUACGUGCCAGCAGCCGCGGUAAUACGUAGGGGGCUAGCGUUGUCCGGAAUCACUGGGCGUAAAGGGUUCGCAGGCGGCAAUGCAAGUCAGAUGUAAAAGGCAAAGGCUCAACCUUUGUAAGCAUCUGAAACUGUAUAGCUUGAAAAGUGUAGAGGCAAGUGGAAGUUUUAGUGUAGCGGUGAAAUGCGUAGAUAUUAAAAAGAAUACCGGUGGCGAAGGCGACUUGCUGGGCAAAAUCUGACGCAGAGGAACGAAAGCGUGGGGAGCAAACAGG